GUGCCAGCAGCCGCGGUAAUACGGAGGGUGCAAACGUUGCUCGGAAUCAUUGGGCGUAAAGCGCACGUAGGCGGUCCAGCAAGUCGGGUGUGAAAGCCCUCGGCUUAACCGAGGAAGUGCAUUCGAAACUACUGGACUUGAAUACUGGAGAGGAUCGCGGAAUUCCCGGUGUAGAGGUGAAAUUCGUAGAUAUCGGGAGGAACACCAGUGGCGAAGGCGGCGAUCUGGACAGAUAUUGACGCUGAGGUGCGAAAGCGUGGGGAGCAAACAGGAUUAGAAACCCGUGUAGUCC
rnacentral:rRNA from 1 species